rnacentral:tRNA from 1 species
GGGGAUGUAGCUCAGUGGUAAAGCACUUGCCUGGCAUGCAUGAGUCCUUGGGUUCAAUCCCCAGAACCACA